GUGAAAUGUUUGGUUAGGCAUGAAGAGGUUGCAAAGAGACUAGAGGAAAAGCUACAAGAUUGUCGUAUUUUGAAUGAAUCAUCGACAAUCAUUUUCGUCAAAGAGAUGAAUGCAGGAAAUUGAGUUGUUGGUCUUUAUUCAUGUCUGUUUUCUUCGUCGCCCCCCCACUGCUGCAACAGUCAUCUAAUAUAAGAAGACCUUACAUAUUUAUAAUUAAAGAUGGACAAACCUGAGCUGCCAAUAUCGAUUUUGAUUCUUGACCUAUAUGAAUAUGGGCUAGUCGAAGUUGUUCUUGGCCUUUUAAAAUUUCUUCUUGUAGGCGAAGACUUAAAUCAGGAGCACGGCAAAUGUGAUGGGUAUAGUUCUUCCAAUUGAGCAAGUAACAAAUGUGUUGGGUAUAGUUCUUCCAAUUGAACAAGUAAACAGACCUCCAACUACAUACUCCAAUCUGAUGGGCAGCUGGUGACCAGGUAUCCUCUUGGUCCUGGUAUAGAUGUGGGAG